AACUUUUAGCAACGGAUCUCUUGGUUCUGGCAUCGAUGAAGAACGCAGCGAAAUGCGAUAAGUAAUGUGUAUUGCAGAAUUCAGUGAAUCAUCGAAUCUUUGAACGCACAUUGCGCCCGCCAGUAUUCUGGCGGGCAUGCCUGUUCGAGCGUCAUUUCAACCAUCAAGCCCCCGGCUUGUGUUGGGGACCUGCGGCUGCCGCAGGCCCUGAAAACCAGUGGCGGGCUCGCUGUCACCCCGAGCGUAGUAGUUACAUCUCGCUCUGGGAGUGCUGCGGGUUCCGGCCGUUAAAAGCCUUAUUUACCCAAGGUUGACCUCGGAUCAGGUAGGAAGACCCGCUGAACUUAAGCAUAUCAAUAAGCGGAGGCU
rnacentral:misc_RNA from 1 species